rnacentral:lncRNA from 1 species
AUAAUAAAUAAGCGGAAGACUUUAAUUAAAACUCAACACUACCCAGAAUUUGGUUGUCACAUGUACAAACCUCUAAAUACAGAAUUCGAAUAAAAAUAUACAAGUCUCAGAGUAUAGUUCUCGAAUAGAACAAAACUGAAAGUAAAGAUAACUCAAGGGCACGUCUGGAAUGAACCGCUACCUCUCGAGUAUGUCCCGAAGCUCAAUCUGCUAAAGAAAAUACUAAGCCGAAUCUGAGAGAG